CCUACGGGUGGCUGCAGUGGGGGAUAUUGGACAAUGGGGGAAACCCUGAUCCAGCGAAGCCGCGUGAGUGAAGAAGUAUUUCGGGAUGUAAAGCUCUGUCAGCAGGGAAGAAAGAAAUGACGGUACCUGACAAAGAAGCCCCGGCUAACUACGUGCAAGCAGCCGCGGUAAUAGGUAGGGGGCAAGCGUUAUCCGGAAUUACUGGGUGUAAAGGGAGCGGAGACGGUGAUGCAAGUCUGGAGUGAAAGGCGGGGGCCCAACCCCCGGACUGCUCUGGAAACUGUGUAACUUGAGUGCAGGAGAGGUAAGCGGAAUUCCUAGUGUAGCGGUGAAAUGCGUAGAGAUUAGGAGGAACACCAGUGGCGAAGGCGGCUUACUGGACUGUAACUGACGUUGAGGCUCGAAAGCGUGGGGAGCAAACAGGAUUAGAUACCCUUGUAGUC
rnacentral:rRNA from 1 species